AUUUUACCCAAAAUCAUGCAUUUCCUCUACAACAAUCUCACAUGUAAACGAAAGUCAUGCAUUUUCUCUUCAAAAAACCCCAUUUAACCCGAAAAAAACGCCAUUUCUCUUCAGAAAUCCCCCCACAUUUAACCCGAAAACGAUGCAAUUUCUCUACAAGAAUCCCUGAUCUAACCCGAAAGUCACGCAUUUGCUCUUCAAAAAUCCCCCGUCUAAUCCAAAAACCAUGCAUUUUCUCUUGGGAAAAUACACAAUCAAAAUCACCACUUUUCUCUAAACGGAAAAAAAAAAAAAACAAAAACAUUCAACCAGAAAUCACGCAUUUUAUCUGAGAGUAUCCCCGCUUUAACCUGAAAGCCAAGACUCAUCCCCCUUUUUUACUCUGGAAAAUCUCCCAUUUAACCCGAAAAUCGUGCCUUUUUUCUUCAAAAAUCCCCCAUUUAACCCCAAAUCAUGGCUUUCGCUCUACAAAAAUCCCUGUUUAUCUCAAACAACAUGCAUUUUCGGCUUCCAAAAUCCCCCCAUUUAACCCCCAAAUCACGCAUAUUCACUUGGAAAAUCCCGCAUUACCCCCAAAAUCAUGCAUUUUCUCUUUGAGAAUCCCCCAUUUAACCUGAUGAAAACCAAUUUCUCUUCGGAAAUCCCCAUUUACCCGAAAAUCAACCUUCUCUUUGGAAAAAAUACCCCAUUAACCCCCAAAUCACCCAUUUUCUCUUCGAGAAUCCCCCAUUAUCCCGAAAAUCACGCAUUUUCUCUUGGAAAAUCACCCUUUAACGUGAAAAUCACUCAUUUUCUCUUCAAAACUCCCUCAUUUCACCCCCAAAUCAAACGCUUUCGCUACAAGAAUCCCCCAUUUAACCUGAAAAUCACUCAUUUCCUCGACAAAAAGCUCACAUGUCAACCAAAAUCACACAUUUUCUCUUCGAAAAUCCACCAUUUAACCAGAAAGUCGUGCACUUUCUCUUGGAAAAUCCCCCAUUUAUCCCCCAAAUCAAACAUUUUCGCUACGAGAAUCCCUCAUUUUACCCCAAAAUCAUGCAUUUCCUCUACAACAAUCUCACAUGUAAACGAAAAUCAUGCAUUUUCUCUUCAAAAAACCCCAUUUAAACCCGAAAAAACGCCAUUUCUCUUCAGAAAUCCCCCCACAUUUAACCCGAAAAUGAUGCAAUUUCUCUACAAGAAUCCCUGAUCUAACCCGAAAGUCACGCAUUUUCUCUUCAAAAAUCCCCCGUUUAAUCCAAAAACCAUGCAUUUUCUCUUGGGAAAAUACACAAUCAAAAAUCACCACUUUUCUCUAAAGGAAAAAAAAAAAAAAAAAAAAAACCAUUCAACCCAGAAAUCACGCAUUUUAUCUGCGAGUAUCCCCGCUUUAACCUGAAAGCCAAGCAUUUUUACUCUGGAAAAUCCCCCAUUUAACCGAAAAUCAUGCCUUUUCCCUUGGAAAAUCUCCCAUUUAACCCGAAAAUCGUGCCUUUUUUCUUCAAAAAUCCCCCAUUUAACCCCCAAAUCAUGCUUUCGCUCUACAAAAAUCCCCUGUUUAUCUCAAACAACAUGCAUUUUCGCUUCCAAAAUCCCCCAUUUAACCCCAAAUCACGCAUAUUCACUUGGAAAAUCCCGCAUUUACCCCCAAAAUCAUGCAUUUUCUCUUUGAGAAUCCCCCAUUUAACCUGAUGAAAACACAAUUUCUCGUCGGAGAUUACCCCAUGUAACCCGAAAAUCAUGCACUUUCUCUUGGAAAAAAUACCCCAUUUAACCCCAAAAUCACGCAUUUUCUCUUCGAGAAUCCCCCAUUAAUCCCAAAAAUCACGCAUUUUCUCUUGGAAAAUCACCCUUUUAACUUGAAAAUCACGCUUUUUCUCUUCAAAAAUCCCCCAUUUAACCCCCAAAUCAAACCUUUCGCUACAAGAAUCCCCCAUUUAACCUGAAAAUCACUCAUUUCCUCGACAAAAAGCUCACAUGUCAACCAAAUCACACAUUUUCUCUUCGAAAAUCCACCAUUUAACCAGAAAGUCGUCGCACUUUCUCUUGGAAAAUCCCCCAUUUUAUCCCCCAAAUCAUGCAUUUGCUUUGGGAUUCCCCCAUUUACCCCCAACCAUGCAUUAUCUCUCCAAAAAUAACCCAUUUAACCCCAAAAUCAGGCAUUUUCUCUUGGAAAAAAUACCCCAUUACCCAAAAUCACGCAUUUCUCUUCGAGAAUCCCCCAUUAAUUCCGAAAAUCACGCAUUUUCUCUUGAAAAUCACCCUUUGAACUUGAAAAUCACGCUUUUUCUCUUGAAAAAUCCCCCUUUAACCCCCAAAUCAAACGCUUUCGCUACGAGAAUCCCUCAUUUUACCCCAAAAUCAUGCAUUUCCUCUACAACAAUCUCACAUGUAAACGAAAGUCAUGCAUUUCUCUUCAAAAAACCCCAUUUAACCCGAAAAAACGCCAUUUCUCUUCAGAAAUCCCCCACAUUUACCCGAAAACGAUGCAAUUCUCUACAAGAAUCCCUGAUCUAACCCGAAAGUCACGCAUUUGCUCUUCAAAAAUCCCCCGUCUAAUCCAAAAACCAUGCAUUUUCUCUUGGGAAAAUACACAAUCAAAAUCACCACUUUUCUCUAAACGGAAAAAAAAAAAAAAAAAACAAAAAACAUUCAACCCAGAAAUCACGCAUUUUAUCUGCGAGUAUCCCCGCUUUAACUGAAAGCCAAGCAUUUUACUCUGGAAAUCCCCCAUUUAACCGAAAAUCAUGCCUUUCCCUUGGAAAAUCUCCCAUUUAACCCGAAAAUCGUGCCUUUUUUCUUCAAAAUCCCCCAUUUAACCCCAAAUCAUGCUUUCGCUCUACAAAAAUCCCCUGUUUAUCUCAAACAACAUGCAUUUUCGCUUCCAAAAUCCCCCCAUUUAACCCCAAAUCACGCAUAUUCACUUGGAAAAUCCCGCAUUUACCCCCCAAAUCAUGCAUUUUCUCUUUGAGAAUCCCCCAUUUAACCUGAUGAAAACACAAUUUCUCUUCGGAAAUCCCCCAUUUAACCCGAAAAUCAUACACUUUCUCUUGGAAAAAAUACCCCAUUGAACCCCAAAAUCACCCAUAUUCUCUUCGAGAAUCCCCCAUUAAUCCCGAAAAUCACGCAUUUUCUCUUGGAAAAUCACCCUUUAACGUGAAAAUCACUCAUUUUCUCUUCAAAAAUCCCCCAUUUCACCCCCAAAUCAAACGCUUUCGCUACAAGAAUCCCCCAUUUAACCUGAAAAUCACUCAUUUCCUCGACAAAAAGCUCACAUGUCAACCAAAAUCACACAUUUUCUCUUCGAAAAUCCACCAUUUAACCAGAAAGUCGUGCACUUUCUCUUGGAAAAUCCCCCAUUUAUCCCCCAAAUCAUGCAUUUGCUUUUGGAUAUCCCAUUUACCCCCAAACCAUGCAUUAUCUCUCCCAAAAAUACCCCAUUUAACCCCAAAAUCAGGCAUUAUCUCUCCAAAAAUACCCCAUUUAACCCCAAAAAUCACGCAAUUUCUCUUCGAGAAUCCCCCAUUAAUCCCGAAAAUCACGCAUUUUCUCUUGGAAAAUCACCCUUUGAACUUGAAAAUACGCUUUUUCUCUUGAAAAAUCCCCCUUUUUACCCCCAAAUCAAACGCUUUCGCUACGAG
rnacentral:lncRNA from 7 species